rnacentral:rRNA from 1 species
CGGGCGUAGCAAUACGUCAGUGGCAGACGGGUGAGUAACGCGUGGGAACAUACCUCUUGGUUCGGAACAACACAGGGAAACUUGUGCUAAUACCGGAUAAGCCCUUACGGGGAAAGAUUUAUCGCCGAGAGAUUGGCCCCGCGUCUGAUUAGCUAGUUGGUAGGGUAAUGGCCUACCAAGGCGACGAUCAGUAGCUGGUCUGAGAGGAUGAUCAGCCACACUGGGACUGAGACACGGCCCAG